rnacentral:rRNA from 1 species
AGAGUUUGAUCCUGGCUCAGAAUCAACGCUGGCGGCGUGCCUAACACAUGCAAGUCGAGCGAGAAAGUGUAGCAAUACAUGAGUACAGCGGCGCACGGGUGAGUAACACGUGGGUAAUCUGCCCUAGAGUGGGGAAUAACACCGGGAAACCGGUGCUAAUACCGCAUACGAUCACGAUGUCUGCGGACGUUGUGAUGAAAGGAGCAAUUCGCUCUUGGAGGAGCCCGCGGCUGAUUAGCUAGUUGGUAAGGUAAUGGCUUACCAAGGCUACGAUCAGUAUCCGGUCUGAGAGGACGGUCGGACACACUGGAACUGAGACACGGUCCAGACUCCUACGGGAGGCAGCAGUGGGGAAUUUUUCGCAAUGGGGGCAACCCUGACGAAGCAACGCCGCGUGGGUGAUGAAGUAUCUCGGUACGUAAAACCCUUUCGACGGGGAAGAAAACCGCAAGGUUUGACGGUACCCGUAGAAGAG